UGUUCCAGGUAAAUCCGGUUCACUUUAACACUGAGGCGUGACGACGAGGCACUACGGUGCUGAAGCAACAAAUGCCCUGCUUCCAGGAAAAGCCUCUAAGCAUCAGGUAACAUCAAAUCGUACCCCAAACCGACACAGGUGGUCAGGUAGAGAAUACCAAGGCGCUUGAGAGAACUCGGGUGAAGGAACUAGGCAAAAUGGUGCCGUAACUUCGGGAGAAGGCACGCUGACACGUAGGUGAAGUGAUUUACUCAUGGAGCUGAAGUCAGUCGAAGAUACCAGCUGGCUGCAACUGUUUAUUAAAAACACAGCACUGUGCAAACACGAAAGUGGACGUAUACGGUGUGACGCCUGCCCGGUGCCGGAAGGUUAAUUGAUGGGGUCAGCGCAAGCGAAGCUCCUGAUCGAAGCCCCGGUAAACGGCGGCCGUAACUAUAACGGUCCUAAGGUAGCGAAAUUCCUUGUCGGGUAAGUUCCGACCUGCACGAAUGGCGUAAUGAUGGCCAGGCUGUCUCCACCCGAGACUCAGUGAAAUUGAACUCGCUGUGAAGAUGCAGUGUACCCGCGGCAAGACGGAAAGACCCCGUGAACCUUUACUAUAGCUUGACACUGAACAUUGAGCCUUGAUGUGUAGGAUAGGUGGGAGGCUUUGAAGUGUGGACGCCAGUCUGCAUGGAGCCGACCUUGAAAUACCACCCUUUAAUGUUUGAUGUUCUAACGUGGACCCGUUACCCGGGUUGCGGACAGUGUCUGGUGGGUAGUUUGACUGGGGCGGUCUCCUCCUAAAGAGUAACGGAGGAGCACGAAGGUUGGCUAAUCCUGGUCGGACAUCAGGAGGUUAGUGCAAUGGCAUAAGCCAGCUUGACUGCGAGCGUGACGGCGCGAGCAGGUGCGAAAGCAGGUCAUAGUGAUCCGGUGGUUCUGAAUGGAAGGGCCAUCGCUCAACGGAUAAAAGGUACUCCGGGGAUAACAGGCUGAUACCGCCCAAGAGUUCAUAUCGACGGCGGUGUUUGGCACCUCGAUGUCGGCUCAUCACAUCCUGGGGCUGAAGUAGGUCCCAAGGGUAUGGCUGUUCGCCAUUUAAAGUGGUACGCGAGCUGGGUUUAGAACGUCGUGAGACAGUUCGGUCCCUAUCUGCCGUGGGCGCUGGAGAACUGAGGGGGGCUGCUCCUAGUACGAGAGGACCGGAGUGGACGCAUCACUGGUGUUCGGGUUGUCAUGCCAAUGGCACUGCCCGGUAGCUAAAUGCGGAAGAGAUAAGUGCUGAAAGCAUCUAAGCACGAAACUUGCCCCGAG
rnacentral:rRNA from 1 species